GACUAUGCUAGAUAAUGCAUUUACAAUGUAUGAAAGGGAAUUUUAACUUUUGGAUUGUGUUGUGUGGACGUUAAAAUCUGCCAUGGGAUUGCCAAUGAUGAUCAAGUCCUUAUAUUAUUUAUGAGAGAACAGAGAGACAAGGUAAACCAGAGUGUUUAGUAUAGGAGUGAAAGGAAUGAGAAUUCCCUUGUGACUUUUGUAAAACAGAAUUUUUGGGUCAAACGUGUGAUUAAGUUUAAAAUAGGGACGUUAUAUUAAUUUACCCAAUUAUCUUUUGGGGCCCCGAGAAUGAAACCCAAGGCCCUCCCUUGCGACGGUUGAUUCGAACGCCUUGCUUUUAAGUUUCAUAGAACAAAAGUUAAACCCAAAAAGGAAAAGAAAAAUGAGACAAUGGAGAAGCCUAGCAAAAGAAGCCAUGGAUCGAGCCUUUAUCGUCGUCAAAUUCCUCUGCUUCCUUCACGUCACCGACUCCUACCUCCUCUCCCCUACCCAUGUGCUGGGUCCUAGCAUGCUGCCAACGUUAAACCUAACCGGCGACGUCGUACUAGCCGAACACUUGUCUCAUCGGGUGGGCAAAUUGGGUCCGGGUGACGUGGUCCUGGUUCGGUCGCCGUUCGACCCUAAAAAGACCUUGACUAAGCGCAUUGUAGCCAUGGAAGGUGAUAAAGUUGCCUUCUCAUUGGACCCCACUCGAAGCCAUAGCUCUCGUUCUCUCGUGGUUCCAAAGGGACAUGUUUGGAUUCAAGGGGAUAACUUGUAUGCUUCUAAUGAUUCACGACAUUUUGGGCCUGUUCCUUAUGGUCUUAUUAAAGGGAAAGUGUUGCUGAGGGAAUUGGCAAUACAUGGCCCAUGUUAAACCUAGAGUUAAUUAGUGUAUGGCCACCAAACAGCAUUGGAUCAUUGGGUCAAUGAGAGUAUACAUUCAAGUGAUAUUGCUUCAUGUGUUUGUUGGACUCUCUCCUCUCACCUUGUGUUGGGUUUUACUGGUGAAUUUUUGGAUUACAUGGAACGGGAAUUUGCUGAUAACAGGUUGUUCAAUGGGGUCAAAGUUACAAACUCUUUGUAAAAAAAAAGAAGAGGAGAAGAAAGGACAAAAAAAGGGGUGAAGAAGGCGAUCAUAAGAAACUUUUGUGCUGCCUGCAAGUUCAAGUCAAUGCUAAACUGUCACAUUUCAUUUUGGUCCAAGCUUCAAGGUCGAAGAUGGAUCCUUUCUCUGUUUUAGGAGUUCUGGAGUUCAAUCCCAAUUUAUCUGGUUUCCUCAUGGGACCUUUGUGUGUGGAUUUCUACUUUCUUAGCAAGUAACACCUAGGCUAAUACAUGCAUAUAUUUCCAUGGAAUGAACAUGGCAUUGUGAUUUUCUUCAGUUGCUCAUUGUAGGCCUCAUUAGUUGCCAAUUUGCCAUUGUCUUGGUCUAAUAAGUAAUAAAUCUGAUUUGCUAUGGCAUCUUAAAUUCUCAAUGGUAUCAAGGUCAUUUGAGACAAGCAUAAUA